rnacentral:rRNA from 1 species
UUGACGGGGCCGCACAAGCGGUGGAGUAUGUGGUUUAAUUCGAUGCAACGCGAAGAACCUUACCUGGUCUUGACAUCCCGGAGACCCUUAGGAAACUAGGGGGUGCUUCCAUCUGGAAGAAUCUGGAGACAGGUGCUGCAUGGCUGCGUCAGCUCGUGUCGUGAGAUGUUGGGUUAAGUCCCGCAACGAGCGCAACCCUUGCCUUUAGUUGCCAGCAGUUCGGCUGGGCACUCUAAAGGGACUGCCGGUGUUAAACCGGAGGAAGGUGGGGAUGACGUCAAGUCCUCAUGGCCUUUAUGACCAGGGCUACACACGUACUACAAUGGCCGAUACAAAGGGCAGCGACACUGCGAGGUGAAGCCAAUCCCGUAAAAUCGGUCUCAGUCCGGAUUGGAGUCUGCAACUCGACUCCAUGAAGUUGGAAUCGCUAGUAAUCGUGGAUCAGCAUGCCACGGUGAAUACGUUCCCGGGCCUU